UUUUUGCCUGAGCAUUCGUGGUGUGAAGCCUGCUGUUGGUGGCAGCAGUGCUUCCACAACUGAAGAGUGUGAGCUCUGCUGGGCAGCAGUGAUUGCUUCCCAGCACACCGGCCAAAUGCUCCCUCUUUCCUCACUCCCACAGUGAGCCAGAAAACAGCCCCAAGCCUGGAAGGAAGAAAUGGUGAUGAAAAGGCUGUGAGCACAGUCCAUGAUGUCCAGACUCCUCAACAGACCUUGGAUCACACUUCACCUUCCAGGCUGGAUGCUCUUAGUGCACGAGGAUUUCCUGAAGGUUGGACUGUAAUUUGUGAAGAUACUGGAUGACAGGUCUUUGUCUGCCUGGCUGUUAAAAAGAAGAGGUUGACAUUCUAGAGGUAAUAAAGCAAGAAAGAUCCUCUCUUUCA
rnacentral:lncRNA from 1 species